AGGAAGCUGCGCGGCCGCCGGCGCUGCACGCCGAGCCGUUGUUGUGGUCCAGCCCCCGACACGUGACUGCGCGGGCCCUGCCCCCGCGCACAGAGCCGCCUCGCCGUGACUCAGCACUCUGUGCUGGCUCAGAGCUAGAAGUCAAUGCCGGAGAGGCUGUUCAGAGUUACUAAAGAUCUGCUUGUCAAGGGAGGCUCUUUAUUAAGCUGGGGAAGCGUGAGUGUGUAAAGAAGAUGGGUAGGAGUCAGCUGGGGAUGAGGUUAAAGAUGUGGGAGUGAGAAAGGAUGCCUUAGAGGCAAGAUCUCUCAGGAGACAUGACUUGAUGGGAUCCAGAGCACAGGUAAAGAGUGCCUGCCCCGAAGCUGCAAAGAAAAAUGCCCUGGAUGGCUUAAUCUGAAAAGACCAGAGGGCAUGGAAAUAAAAUUUUAUCUGCAGAAUUUCAGUUUUGAUCCUGAUGCAGAAUUAUGCUGACUUCUACUGCACACCUUCCUUCAGCCUUUCUGCUUGAUGGCUUCCUCACCCUUCUCUGAAGUUUUCAUCCGAGUCCGUGUUCAGCAUGCUCUUGUCAAGGAUCACUUGCUUCAAGGACUGAAAAACUGAAUCUAGCUCAAGUAAAGGGAGGAUUUACUGGAAGGAUUUGAGGAAAUGUCCUGAACUUCAUCUGCAGGAAGUAUGCCUGGACCUCCUGGGAAACUCUCCCUCUCUUGUGCUGUCUCCUGAUUGAGGUUACAACUGCUCUCUGCCAUCUUCUAGGACUCUUGCAGUAAUGCUCCCCUAGUGGCUACACUGCUGUACUAGCUACACAACCACUGGGGUUUAUUUUUGAAAAAUGGUGUUUGUUUAG